UACGUAGGGACCAAGCGUUGUUCGGAUUUACUGGGCGUAAAGGGCGCGUAGGCGGCCACCGCAAGUCGGUUGUGAAAUCUCCGGGCUUAACCCGGAAAGGUCAAUCGAUACUGCGGGGCUAGAGUGCAGAAGGGGCAACUGGAAUUCUCGGUGUAGCGGUGAAAUGCGUAGAUAUCGAGAGGAACACCUGCGGCGAAGGCGGGUUGCUGGGCUGAUACUGACGCUGAGGCGCGAAAGCCAGGGGAGCGAACGGG
rnacentral:rRNA from 1 species